AAUCAACGCUGGCGGCGUGCCUCAGACAUGCAAGUCGAACGAUUAAGACUUCCUUCGGGAAGUGCAUAAAGUGGCGCACGGGUGAGUAACACGUAAGUAAUCUACCUUCGAGUGGGGAAUAACGUCCGGAAACGGACGCUAAUACCGCAUAAUGCAGCGGCAUCGUAAGAUGACAGUUGUUAAAGGAGCAAUUCGCUUGAAGAGGAGCUUGCGGCAGAUUAGCUAGUUGGUAAGGUAAUGGCUUACCAAGGCUACGAUCUGUAACCGGUC
rnacentral:rRNA from 1 species